UGUCAGAGGCUGGAUUUGAACUCAAGAAGAUGAGUCUUCCUGAUUCCAAGCCCAGCUCUCUGUGCACUAUGCCCCCCACUCCAGCUGUCAUUGGCAAAUGCCCCAUUUAUAAACUUCCCUUACUUGGUGAUAAUAAUAGUUCCUAUGUCACUUGUAUUAGAAGCAGCAUGGAAUAGUUGAUAGAAGGCUUGCUUCAGAGACAAGAAGACCUAUGUUCAAAUCCCAUCUCCGAACGACACAUAAGGUUAUAUGGCCUUAGGCAAAUCACUAAACUCUCUGCUCUAGGCAAUUAUCUAAGACGAAGGUGCUGACCUACAUUGAUGGAGGGGAUUUUCCUGUACAGGAGUUUCCUAUGCCUGUGAAAUCACAGGUGCAGUCCUUAUCCCUAUUCACAUAGCUCUUUAUGGAAGUAUUUUUCUCACAACAAUCCCAUGAGGCGCAUUAUGCAAUAUACCUUAUUUAACAGAUAAGGAAAUGGAAUCAGAUUAGUGUUUGAAACUCAGCCCCACAGUUUACUAGUCAUACUCGAGUCAGCAGCUCCAAAAUCUAGGGCCAGGGGAGCUUUGGGAAAUAUGAGUGAAGUGAGAGAAGGACAAGGAGUCACAGCUCAGCUCUCCUGCCCCCCCCACCUCCCGCCACCCCCCCCACAUAAGAAUGCCUUUUGGAGUCCAAGAAGACAGAACACUAUCAAAGGAGGAUCUCCAAGUUCAGGUUGUUUGUUUCAGCAAGGCCAAGUUGAUAGAGGAUACAACGAGAAUCUUGGAACGCCAGGGAAUUUCCUGGGAGGGGAGGGGCUCUUCCCCAGGGCUCAGCACAACAAAUGCCAGGUUUUAACGGAAAGAAUCUGAGAUUUCGGCUCAAAAGAUACAAAAGACCUAGAUUUUAAUGUUGACUCUACUUCUUAGUAAUUACGUAAGUUCAGGCACUUCUCUCUGGCCUCAGUUUUUUCCUUUGUAAAGUGAGGGGAUUGAACCAGACCUCUAAGUGCCUUUACAACUCUGACAUUCUGCGAUGAUGAGAUAUCUAUAAGAUGAGUGAAUUGCUAGGUUGCCAGCCACGUCACAGAGCACCCCCUGGUGGACAAUAGCUGUAAAGGCCAGUUCUCAUUCUCACCAACAAGUCGCUCUGAUGUGGGCUUUCACUUUCUUGGAUCCCAGGAAAAAUGUGCAGUUAACAACAUGGCAGAAGAGAGUUUGGUUAAGAGGAAAGAAACAAAGCAGAAAACCUUGGAUGAACAGCCGCUAAUUCUAUCCCAGACAACCCAAGUGUAACCCUGGAAACCCCCACUGCUGUAUCUCAUUUUUGGUUCAGGAUGAAGAAUAUGGAUGGAGAGGAUGGGAAGGGCUCCCAAAAAAAGAAGCUGAUGCUGUCACUGAACAUAUGCUGACAGAUGUCAUUCCUUCUGUCUAAAGUCUCUAUGACUCAUUGUAGACUGAAGGCCAUACAAGGGCUGUAUCACUUAUGUGUGUGUUUCCAGGGCGUGAUUGCAGAAAUGUGGCUCUGAGGACUUAGAGGCAAGAAGCAGAGACAUUUGGACAAUGACAUUUUCACGAGGAACUUAACCAGCUGAAUGUCUGCAGCCUGUCCAGAGUUUUCUACUAAGGCUUCACCCUUCCCACAAAGGUGGAUCUGCUUCAGCAGUCUCGGCCUCUAAUGACCAUCAUGAGUGCUGGCUUAGACUUCAUUUUAGUAUUUCCUGGCUAACAAAUGAACA